GCCAAUUUUGUUUAAAAAAAUUUUCUUGCCAAUUUAUAUUUAUUUUAUAUAUAUUAUUUUACAAAUUACAUAUUUUAAUUGAGCCCUCCUAAGUUGAAUUUCUGCAUCCGUCACUAAUAGAACGCUCAGUAAUAUCAAUGAAGUAAAAUUUUCUUUCUACUAGGUCUUCAUCCGAAAAACAAAAGCUUGCUUACAAUAUAUACUAUGGAUAGAUGGAGUUCGGAAACAAAAAGAACUAAAAUUUCAAUUAUGCGCUAAGCAUUAAAUACAAACUAUUAUGUUCUUAAACUAAUAAUAGCAAAAAAUCACUUACAUAUUUCAACUAGAAAAUUUUAAAAUUCCCCUUCAAUGCUGAUCUAGUUCAGUAAUAUCCCACAUCCACUAUAAGGAUUACAAAGGACCAAAUAGGUCACCAUAAAUCACCGUACACAAGCUACUCACCUCACCUUAGCAAUAUUUUUAUUUAUUAGUUAGCAAUAAAUUACCAUUACGCAUUGGAAAGAUCGUAGAAAAAAAAGGAACAAAAGGUGAAAAUAUAUCAAAAUUAUAGUUUAAAAUUUAUAUCUUCUUAGCAUUGUUGAUUAAUAUCAAAGUACAGUAGACUUGACCAUUCUCCUCUUUCCCAACAUAAAGACAAUCAUUGAAACACUAUAUUAUGGUUUUAAACAAAGGCCAUUACAUUACACAACAGACCAUUACCACCGUUAUUUAAUAGAUUUUAAUAAUUGUAACUGUAAAGGAAGUUACAACCAUUAUAUAAAGGUAACGACCGUUAAGUAACAGUUGUAACAGCCGUUGCUUUUCCAACUGAGAAUUUUUAGCUUUUUUUUACAUCUUUCACAUCAAAUGCAGCAGAGGAAACCUUUUUUCAUUCAUUUUAGCACCUUAUCAUUUUUUCUCUAGGCAACUUAGCCAUUUUCUCUCAACUAGACAUUCAUUUUAAUGGUAAUAAGGUUAGUUUUUUACCAUCUAAUUAGUUAUCUUGAUUUUAAAUUGAUUAAUACUAAUCAUGUUUAAGAAUGAUAGAUUUAGUGUCCUUAUUUGGUAUAUUUAUGCUUAUUAUUAGUUGUAUACGUUAGUUUUAGUUCUAUCUUCAAUAUUUAUUCAUUUCAUGAACUUGGAAAAUUUUUCAAAAAAAAUUUGCAU
rnacentral:misc_RNA from 1 species